GUUUUCCUAUAACUUCCAAAUUUAUGAUGGAUGUUACAAAUCUUGGUUUAAUCCCCUAAUUUAUGGUGAAGGUUAUAAACUAUUUAAUUUUUGAAAUUAAGUUCUACCUAUUCUACUCCUAUAAAUACCCCACACCUUUAGUCAUCUUUUCCACACAAAAACUUUGAAGAAUCUAUAAUUUCUUACUUCAUAGUUCUUCUUUCUCUUCCUAUGUAUUCUAGUUUUAUAUUUCUUAUUCAAGUUUCAAUUUUCUUUUGUUUAAGAAAAAUAUUUUCAUAUUUCUUACUCAAAAAUAUUAUGCUCAUGAUAGAUCAUUCAUGUUUAAAUUCAUGAUUAAGUUCAUGUGGUAGAUUGCUUGUUGGUUGGCUAUGAGAAAGCUCAAGUACAAGAAUAAAUGAAGAUACUAGUAUUAGUUUGUGCAAGAUCAAGAUUUGCAGGUGAAUUUUGGAUGUGCAUGAGAGCAUACUAGGAACGGGAUCUUCACCUAGAUUAGAGUGUUUCAUUUAUUUUGAGUAUUGAGACAAUAUUUACUUUUAUUAAUAAAAAAGUAUUAUUAUUAUUUUUGGUUAAA